rnacentral:rRNA from 1 species
CGUAGAGUCGGCGGGACGGGUCGAGUAACGACGUGGGCGAACCUAGCCCACUACAGGGGGAGUAACAGCCGGAAACGGCUGCUAAAACCGCAUAAGCGCACAAGGGCCGCAUGGCCUGGUGUGAAAAACUCCGGUGGUAUGGGAUGGGCCCGCGUCUGAUUAGCUAGUUGGCGGGGGAGAGGCCCACCAAGGCGACGAUCAGUAGCCGACCUGAGAGGGUGGCCGGCCACAUUGGGACUGAGACACGGCCCAAACUCCUACGGAAGGCAGCAG